CUGAAUGUCACACAAUCAUUUUUCAAACACAAAUAUUCAAAAUAGCUAUGGGCACAGCCUGUAUUGUAUGAGCACUGACCAAUGAGAAGUGAUGCUGGCCACUGGCACAUGAGCAGAGUUCUGAGCGGCUCCCCAUGACCCAUCUGCCACCCUGCCAGGUGCUAACCCUUUAGUUGUUGGGUGGAAUGAGAAGGGAGGAGGGAGUCCUGGGGAGGGGCCGAGGCCGUUGAGGUGGCAUGAAAGGGUGCUCUGGGGACUCAGGUUAGUGGCUCUUUAACAACUGGUGUGGAGUCAUCUCAAUAUUUUAACAUAGGCUGGCUUUCCAGGUGUGUGCAGGGUGAUGAUUAGCUCUACCUGCCACCCAUCACAGAACUCAGAGUUUCACCACUUCCUUCUCCAUUUUCUUUAGCUGUCAGCAUAUAGUUAAUGGGCAACAACACAGCUCUCCAUCCAGUUCUGGGAAAUAAUAAUCAUGGUUAAUAGUUACUGAGAACUGAUGAUUUCAUUUCAUCUUCAUACCAACGCUUGGGGUAGGCACCAUUUUAAAAGCGAUUGGAGACAGGUUAAACAACUUGCCCUCAAUCAAUGGUUGGGAAGUGAAAGAACCAAGCUUCAAACCCAGGUCUGUCUGGGUCUUGAGCCAAGCUCCAAGUCUGUGUCACAUUGCCCAGGACUCGGCUGCCAAUUCUCCCGACCUCCUCGUCCCUCACUGCUGCAUCAGCAAAUCCAGGGCUCAUGGCAGGAAGAGCAGAGAAGAGCAAAGAUGAAAACUCCUCAAGGUCACAUCUAUCCCUCCUUGCCUGGCACAGAGGAGAUGCUUCAUUUGGAUGUGUUGCUGGAGGGGAGAGGUGCAAGCAGUAUGCCAUGGGCACUCAGAGAAAGAGACUAUCUUUAUUCCUGUAAGCUUCAACUAGGGAGCUUCAAUGUUGCGCAAAUGACAGCAGAGAGAGUCAUCAGGUCAAGCCUAUCCAGCAAGAAGCCAAGUGGAGAGUUGAGCAAUUAUCUGAAGUGGGCAGUGAGACGGCCAAAACCAGAUAAUACUUAACCAGAAAGUCAUCGUGGAGGGAAAAAGUGGACUGAAAAUAGAAGGGAUGGGGUAAAAUGUCAAACAAUUUGGUCAGUGUCCACAGUCCAAAUUCACUGGAUAACAGCCAAUUCCUUGCUUCAUGUAAUUAUUUAGAACGAGUCUAAAAGACUGAGGUUUUAAAAAAAGAAGAUGAAUUUGUUACCAAGGUUGUUGCAUGUUUGUGCAAAACUUUUUCAUAUCCGUAGGACUAUCUGUGACAUGUCUAAUUCUGAAUAUUUCCAGGAUAUUUUAGAUUGGUGGGUCAAGUUUGUUGAGGAAGCCCAUAUUAUCUGUAGACUUACAUGGAGAAAAACUUUCUUUUAUGGAUUAUUUGAGUGUUAUAUUUAAUUCGCCUUUCUCCCCCCAUAGCAUAUUGCUUAGGAAUUUUCCAUUGAAAACUCCUGGUUCUCUGUUACUUUAUCAUUUCCUCAUGUGGCAAUUUCAGUAUCCCCUUGAUUUUAGUAGAACCUAUCAAUGAAGUAUAUAAGUCUACUAGAAUGGGAUUUGCAUUACUUUUGGUUAAAAAAAACCCCACCAAAGUCUCAGAUCAAUGUGGUGUUUUUUUCCCUUCUAUUUGGUAUAAAAACCAUAAACUAAUUACUCUGAACAGAUGUUUCCUAGACCUAAAAUAUAGUUAUCAGCCCACUGGCCUCUAUAAAUCCAUCGCUGUAUACCUGGUAAUCCUGAAGACUCCUUAGUGCCAUGUUAAACCUUCCAUUUGUUGAUUUUUUAUUGAGAAAAAGUUCAUAAAUUAGGUUCACUGCUGCUUGGAAUUAAGAAGAAAACACAGCCAUGUUAGUAUUUCAGAUGGGAAAACCAAAGUUAAAAACAAGUAUUUUUUUUCACUCUAUCAUGUCUUGAACAUUUGAAGCCAUUACAUAGCAUCUUAGAAACAACAACAACAAAAUAACCCAGGGCUACAUUUUUCAGUAGCUUUGGCUGAUGUUUGAAAUCCACAGUGAAAAUUGCCCAUGGAAUAUUCUGGAAGGACUCCAAGGGAGUCUAUUGGAAUAUCUUACAAUAAAGUAAAAAUUCAAGAAGAAUUUUACAUGCAAGUAAGGAUUAAGAAAUUUGUUUUAUAAGUCACGGGAUAAAGGUAUGUAUUAAGUGACAUUGCUAAAUUCUUCCCUU
ensembl:lncRNA